CUUGAGGAGUGGCUUCCGGAGCUAACGCGUUAAGUCGACCGCCUGGGGAGUACGGCCGCAAGGUUAAAACUCAAAUGAAUUGACGGGGGCCCGCACAAGCGGUGGAGCAUGUGGUUUAAUUCGAUGCAACGCGAAGAACCUUACCUACUCUUGACAUCCAGAGAACUUAGCAGAGAUGCUUUGGUGCCUUCGGGAACUCUGAGACAGGUGCUGCAUGGCUGUCGUCAGCUCGUGUUGUGAAAUGUUGGGUUAAGUCCCGCAACGAGCGCAACCCUUAUCCUUUGUUGCCAGCGAUUCGGUCGGGAACUCAAAGGAGACUGCCAGUGAUAAACUGGAGGAAGGUGGGGAUGACGUCAAGUCAUCAUGGCCCUUACGAGUAGGGCUACACACGUGCUACAAUGGCAUAUACAAAGAGAAGCGACCUCGCGAGAGCAAGCGGACCUCAUAAAGUAUGUCGUAGUCCGGAUUGGAGUCUGCAACUCGACUCCAUGAAGUCGGAAUCGCUAGUAAUCGUGGAUCAGAAUGCCACGGUGAAUACGUUCCCGGGCCUUGUACACACCGCCCGUCACACCAUGGGAGUGGGUUGCAAAAGAAGUAGGUAGCUUAACCUUCGGGAGGGCGCUUACCACUUUGUGAUUCAUGACUGGGGUGAAGUCG
rnacentral:rRNA from 1 species